UACAGGGGGGGGCAAGCGUUUGUUCGGAAUUACUGGGCGUAAAGGGUUCGUAGGUGGCCAACUAAGUCAGACGUGAAAUCCCUCAGCUUAACUGGGGAACUGCGUCUGAUACUGGAUGGCUUGAGUGUAGGAGAGGAAUGCGGAAUUCCAGGUGUAGCGGUGAAAUGCGUAGAUAUCUGGAGGAACACCGGUGGCGAAGGCGGCAUUCUGGACUACAACUGACACUGAGGAACGAAAGCCAGGGGAGCAAACGGG
rnacentral:rRNA from 1 species